GAUGAACGCUGGCGGCGUGCCUAAUACAUGCAAGUCGAGCGAACAGACGAGGAGCUUGCUCCUCUGACGUUAGCGGCGGACGGGUGAGUAACACGUGGAUAACCUACCUAUAAGACUGGGAUAACUUCGGGAAACCGGAGCUAAUACCGGAUAAUAUAUUGAACCGCAUGGUUCAAUAGUGAAAGACGGUUUUGCUGUCACUUAUAGAUGGAUCCGCGCCGCAUUAGCUAGUUGGUAAGGUAACGGCUUACCAAGGCAACGAUGCGUAGCCGACCUGAGAGGGUGAUCGGCCACACUGGAACUGAGACAAGGUCCAGACUCCGACGGGAGGCAGCAGUAGGGAAUCUUCCGCAAUGGGCGAAAGCUUGACGGAGCAACGCCGCGUGAGUGAUGAAGGUCUUCGGAUCGUAAAACUCUGUUAUUAGGGAAGAACAAAUGUGUAAGUAACUAUGCACGUCUUGACGGUACCUAAUCAGAAAGCCACGGCUAACUACGUG
rnacentral:rRNA from 1 species